rnacentral:rRNA from 1 species
GUCGACGGGAUCCAUCAAGCUUGCUUGGUGGUGAGAGUGGCGAACGGGUGAGUAAUGCGUGACCGACCUGCCCCAUGCUCCGGAAUAGCUCCUGGAAACGGGUGGUAAUGCCGGAUGUUCCACAUGAUCGCAUGUGAUUGUGGGAAAGAUUCUAUCGGCGUGGGAUGGGGUCGCGUCCUAUCAGCUUGUUGGUGAGGUAACGGCUCACCAAGGCUUCGACGGGUAGCCGGCCUGAGAGGGCGACCGGCCACAUUGGGACUGAGAUACGGCCCAGACUCCUACGGGAGGCAGCAGUGGGGAAUAUUGCACAAUGGGCGCAAGCCUGAUGCAGCGACGCCGCGUGAGGGAUGGAGGCCUUCGGGUUGUAAACCUCUUUUGUUUGGGAGCAAGCCUUCGGGUGAGUGUACCUUUCGAAUAAGCGCCGGCUAACUACGUGCCAGCAGCCGCGGUAAUACGUAGGGCGCAAGCGUUAUCCGGAUUUAUUGGGCGUAAAGGGCUCGUAGGCGGCUCGUCGCGUCCGGUGUGAAAGUCCAUCGCUUAACGGUGGAUCUGCGCCGGGUACGGGCGGGCUGGAGUGCGGUAGGGGAGACUGGAAUUCCCGGUGUAACGGUGGAAUGUGUAGAUAUCGGGAAGAACACCGAUGGCGAAGGCAGGUCUCUGGGCCGUCACUGACGCUGAGGAGCGAAAGCGUGGGGAGCGAACAGGAUUAGAUACCCUGGUAGUCCACGCCGUAAACGGUGGACGCUGGAUGUGGGGCACGUUCCACGUGUUCC